CAUCGUUUCCCACCUCCCUUCCCUACCACUUCAUCCCUGGGUGGCACGGUGUCGCCACAGUGCAGUUGCUGCCUCACAGCGCCGGAGACCCGGGUUC